rnacentral:rRNA from 1 species
CCUACUGGAGGCAGCAGUAGGGAAUCUUCCACAAUGGGCGAAAGCCUGCUGGAGCACCGCCGCGUGGGUGCAGAAGGUCUUCGGAUCGUAAAACCCUGUUGUUAGAGAAGAAAGUGCGUGAGAGUAACUGUUCACGUUUCGACGGUAUCUAACCAGAAAGCCACGGCUAACUCCGUGCCAGCAGCCGCGGUAAUACGUAGGUGGCAAGCGUUAUCCGGAUUUAUUUGGCGUAAAGGGAACGCAGGCGGUCUUUUAAGUCGGAUGUGAAAGCCUUCGGCUUAACCGGAGUAGUGCAUUGGAAACUGGGAGACUUGAGGGCAGAAGAGGAGAGUGAAACUCCAGGUGGAGGGGUGAAAUGCGUAGAUAUAUGGAAGAACACCAGUGGCGAAGGCGGCUCUCUGGUCUGUAACUGACGCUGAGGUUCGAAAGCGUGGGUAGCAAACAGGAUUAGAUACCCGGGUAGUC